CCUACGGGUGGCAGCAGUAGGGAAUUUUCGGCAAUGGGGGGAACCCUGACCGAGCAACGCCGCGUGAACGAAGAAGUUAUUCGUAAUGUAAAGCUCUUUUAACAGGGAAGAAAGAGAAAUUUGACGGUAACUGAAGAAUAAGCUCCGGCUAACUACGAGCCAGCAGCCGAGGUAAUACGUAGGGAGCGAGUGUUAUCUGGAAUGAUUGGGCGUAAAGGGUGCGUAGAUGGCAUAGUAAGUCUUGUGUAAAAAUGCUGGGCUCAACCCAGUAGGGCAAAAGAUACUGCAAAGCUAGAGUGUGACAGAGGCAAGUGGAACUACAUGUGUAGCGGUAAAAGGCGUAGAUAUAAGGAAGAACACCAGUGGCGAAGGCGGUUUGCUGGGUCGAUACUGACGUUGAGGCACGAAAGCGUGGGGAGCAAACAGGAUUAGAUACCCUUGUAGUC
rnacentral:rRNA from 1 species